CUGCUAAAAUAAGUUAGUGGCAAGGUACUCCGUUCCCUACUCUCCAAAGAAAUCCCGUUCUCUGGCCAUCUUUUAUUUAUAUUCCAGAUGUUAGAUUGAGUAAACACGCUUGCAGAUUCUUUUCAGAUAUUUAUUUAUUUUAAGCGGAAAGCUGGCGAUACGGCCUUAUCCCCCGGCAAACGCAGCAUCCCUCCUGGACGCGUUCGCGUGGUGGGAUGCAGGGGCAGGAAGCGGAGCGCCCGGACACGCGGCCCCCGCGCCCCAGCGCGCUCCGUAAGGCUUGCAGCGCUGCCGCCAGCGGUUUCCUUUGCGUUUGCCGCGCCCCGAUGCUGCGCUGGAAGGCCGCGGGGCCCCUCGGUCCUAACGCGGAGCCUGCUCCCGUGAUGGCUUGUCCAGGCGUCGUUGCACUCCGCCGCCGGCUCGGAUGGGAUAAAACUGAGGCAAUUUCAUUUUAGUCCCAUGCAUGUUUCUGUUUUAUUUUUCCGUGGACUAUUUUUAUUACAAGUAAGCAUUGAAAGGAAGUUGCUGGUGGUGAGUUUCCCAUUUUCCAAUUGACUUUGUUUUCCUUAAUAAAUAUGUAAAUUCCCAACUGAUCUUCCAGACCUACAGGUGGAGAAGAUCUGCUGGGUCACCUGGCGAGACUCAGCCCAGGAUACAUUUCCCAAGGCUUGGUCUAGGUUUUUGACUUUGCUUUGUUUUCCACUCGACAUCAUGCAAAAUGAAAAUUUCUUGGGUAUUUCAUGCGUCUUUCUGCCAGGAAAAGAGAAAAUCAGAAAUACUCGGUUUGGGUUCAGGUUCAGUCCUCUGUACCUCCUGCUGAACAUCUGCACAGCUGGUGACACCACCCGCCCCAGCCACUGCCCAGCAUUUCAUCCUGGAAGAGUAUUCCCGCGCGGUGGGGUAUUCACUGGCCGAGCAGGGCUGCUGUGCCGCGUCCUCUCUGCCGCGCUUCUUGAUUAGUCCUACAGAGCGUAUGCAAGAAAGGAUGUAUCCAGAAGGAUGUUCUUUAUCCAGAGACCUUUUUUUGCAGAAAAAUGCACCCCUUUUUUCCCAAGGCACAGGCCCACGGCGCGGGACGUGCCGAGCCGCGAGCGGGUGCUCCGGGCCGCGGCAGCACCGUGGUUGCAGCACCCGGAGCCGGGAGCAUCCCGGCCCAUCCGCGCGCCUGCCCGUGCCGGGGGAUUUUCCUUCGGGGACCGGACAAGCAACGCCUAAGUAAAUAGGCAAAGUGGAGGCAAUUCCAAGCUCAUAUCACGUUACAGUAAUCAGAGGAUAAAAUUGUUUUUCUCUGUGACCUUGUUACAACCAUGUGAAGUCUGUGGAGAAAACCGCGUGUCCAAAUCCAUCCUGCCUCCGCAAGCUUUGCCGCUGCGCUCGGACGGAGCAGGAGGGAAGGGGCGGCCGGGCCGGGAUGCGGGGCGGCCGGCGGGACCCGCUCGCCUCGGCACGGCACGAGGGCAGGGUGGGACCCGGCAGCGCCCCGUAAUUGAUUUGCUUUUGAUAAUGUGAGCUGGAGUUUAUUGUAAAAACUGCCGGCACGAUUGGAGGGCUGCCUGUUAUUAUCAGUCUAAAUAAAUAUGGGUUAGCAACAAAUUCGAAACA
rnacentral:lncRNA from 1 species